CUUUGCUAUCGUGUUUUUUUUUGUCAUUCGUAAAAUCGUAAGGAUGCUUUAACGUGGUCUUAUUCGGCCCAUUCCUAAUUUCCUUUACGUUAUAAAAAUUGGAGCCAAAAGAAAGAAAUUGGAGCGCAAUACAACCGAAAUUCGCAACUCCACAUACAACAGAUCAAUGUGCAAGAGUUGAAUGAAGAACGCAGCAUUUCGCUAAGGUGCAACGUGAUCUCAGAUGUUGGUAAGAAGCCAUCUGCAACCAGCAACCGUGAUAUAGGUGGGUGGACUUAAAAUGUGACACAUAAGCAGGCGGCAGUCUAAGAAGUUUGGAGUGAACCUCUGUAUCCUUUACUUCUUGAUCCUAUGGUAGAUUGAUGCUUGAUGCUGUUCUACUAUGAUAUGGGUUUCUGCAAUGGCUGGAUGACGAGCUUGAUCCGAGAAAGAAUCUUGAAGCUUCUUCUUGGCCUAAAUGUGCAAAAUCUUUACAUGCAUACCAGGUCCUUUGUGAUUGUUGCCUCUCUGGAAAAUGAGCUGUAACGGCUGCUAUUGUGCACAUGUAUAUGUUCUUUACAUCUCAUGGAUGAUUGAAACUUGAAAAUUCUCAGCUAGUUUUGGCCUGUGUGGUCUUUUUCUCUACUAGAACAUUUGCUGCUCGACGGGACCUAUUAUGGAGGUUCUGUUAUGAAUUAUGAUGUUUAAGGUUUGAGACUUUGAGAAUAUUGAUGUCUGUUGAAUGACUUCGAGUCCACACACGUACAUACAAAUUACACAGAUGUACAUACAAAUUAAUAGUUUAGAAUUGUUUUCU